rnacentral:rRNA from 1 species
AUUGAACGCUGGCGGCAUGCCUUACACAUGCAAGUCGAACGGCAGCACGGGUGCUUGCACCUGGUGGCGAGUGGCGAACGGGUGAGUAAUACAUCGGGACAUGUCCUGUAGUGGGGGAGAGCCCGGCGAAAGCCGGGUUAAUACCGCAUACGAUCUACGGAUAAAGGCGGGGUCCUUCGGGCCAGGCGGUUUUGGGGUGGCCGAUGGGUGGAUAGGUGGCUGAUUAGCUAGUUGGUUGGGUAACGGCCUACCAAGGCGACGAUCAGUAGCUGGUCUGAGAGGACGACCAGCCACACUGGGACUGAGACACGGCCCAGACUCCUACGGGAGGCAGCAGUGGGGAAUUUUGGACAAUGGGCGAAAGCCUGAUCCAGCAAUGCCGCGUGUGUGAAGAAGGCCUUCGGGUUGUAAAGCACUUUUGUCCGGAAAGAAAUCCUUGGCCCUAAUACGGUCGGGGGAUGACGGUACCGGAAGAAUAAGCACCGGCUAACUACGUG